CCAUGUGUGAGAGCUUUCACCCUCCACCCUCCGUCCAGGCCAUCUCUUUCCUUUCUGGCUGACAGCUCCCACUGGAUGUGUUGUCACAGCGUCCCCGCUCCCCGGGGCUUGACUCGGACUGACCAUGAGGCCACUUCCCGGAUAGCAUCCCUACACCUGCGGCAGCACCUUUACACCUGGAGCAGCACCUCCUUCUUCCUAAAGCUCUACAGACUGGCAGGACCCAAGCCUGCCAACUAAAUUAUACUAGGAUGUGAUUGACUACCAUGGCUAAGUUUAACAUUUCCCACCUGUGUUCCUCAAGUCACUCAUCAGGCAAGAUGCUCUGCCAGAAAAAUAAUAAAAAUAAAAAAUUAUAA